UGGCAAGAUUAGCCCAGCUGAACAUUGUUA
rnacentral:piRNA from 1 species